UACGUAGGGUGCAAGCGUUAAUCGGAAUUACUGGGCGUAAAGCGUGCGCAGGCGGUUAUGCAAGACAGAUGUGAAAUCCCCGGGCUUAACCUGGGAACCGCAUUUGUGACUGCAUAGCUGGAGUACGGCAGAGGGGGAUGGAAUUCCGCGUGUAGCAGUGAAAUGCGUAGAUAUGCGGAGGAACACCGAUGGCGAAGGCAGUCCCCUGGGCCAACACUGACGCUCAUGCACGAAAGCGUGGGGAGCAAACAGG
rnacentral:rRNA from 1 species